GGAGACUCUUGUUUCUUUUUCUCAUCACUUUCCUCUCUUGCUAGCUAAAGGACAUACUUAGGCAUUUUGACCCACAGAAACUUGGCAUUACUUUUUUCCUAAAGUUUUGACUAUUUUAAAGACUUUUCUUCAAAAAAUUCCUCAGUCAGCACUUCAGAACUAAAGAUGGGUUCAAGCGGCAAACAUAUGGCAUCUUUGACUUUGGAAGAAUUUAGGAAAAGUCCUGCGGCCUCAAAUUUUGUUGUGACAUUAAUUCUCAUUGCUGUUGAGAAGAUGAUGGAUUUAGAAUUUGUGUGCCCUUGCCAUGGACAAGCAUGGAAUAUUCUUUUGGUUCUUUGUUAUGCUGUAGUUCCAGCAGGGAUCAUCUUUGCUGUAAUGUUUUAUGUACAAAACCUAGAACUUUUCGAGCAAAAAAGAAAAAGUAGCAGUUGCAAAAAAAUUGACAGUAACAUUGGCUGUUGCAUUAAAGAAUGCAAGUGUAGCUAUAAAAAUGUAAAGAGCAAUUGCACACUCAUUUGCAGUUAUUUACAAUUUUUUUUACACAGUUCAGUUCCCAUUGUAGUAUGGUUCAUUAUACUGUUACUUGAUGGCCGAUAUUUAGCUUGUGCACGAACAGACUGGUCAGGUAGUUAUGAAGGUACAGAUGGUGGCGGACUGAUGAAAUGGUGCAAACCAAACAACAACAACUCAUCUGAGAGGCUACGCUUUAUUCAGGAAUGUUACACAAUUUCUCAGUGGAUUGGAUUUGGGCUCUGCGUCAUCCUUGGUUUAGUCUUAUGCUGCUGUUACUGCUGUACAACGGCACCAGAAUCCGGAGCAACAGAAUCUGAAGAACCAGAAUCCGGAGCAACAAAAUCUUAAGAACCAGAAUCCGGAGCAACAAAAUCUGAAGCAACAGAAUCUGAAGAACCAGAAUCCGGAGCAUCAGAAACUGGAACACCAGGGGAGGUGAAACGUGGACAUGGAGCAAACGAUCUCCUUAUGGUAACUUUGCCAACAAAUCCAAUAGCCCCUUAGGGAAAAAAACAGAACUUAAAAAAUUACUCAUGGUUUAACUUACAUUGCAUUCAGUUAUUGUGUGGAUAAAAUGAAAGAAAUAAUAUGUUAAGCUUCCUAAAGAUCCAUAUACGUAGAGGGAGAAGGAGCAAGUUUGUUGUUUAAAAAAUGUUUUUGUUUUUUCUACUCUAUAAUAAUUACUAGUGCUUUAUUUAAACUUCCUCAUGUGUUAGAUGUUUCUUUGUAAAAAUUAAAAACAUCUAUCUGCUAGUAGAAUUCCCUUUUUUAUUACCUGAACUUGUUUGUGAUGUUCAAUACAUAAGAUCAUAGUCCAAAGUUUUUUUCCUAUAAUUAAUUUUAAAUGUCGAACUGAUUUAAUUUAAAUGUUUCGUUUUAUAAUUUUGAUCAUUGUGAUUAAAAGAUCAUAAAUAUUAAAAGUAUUGUCUUUUUAAAUUUGUGUAUCAUCAUCUGAAGAUCAACAUACUGGAGACUUUGGAAGUUGCAAUGUAAAUAAGCAAUAAAUUCAAAGGUUUUUGAGCC
rnacentral:lncRNA from 1 species